rnacentral:rRNA from 1 species
AGUAACACGUGGGGAACCUGCCCCAUAGUCUGGGAUACCACUUGGAAACAGGUGCUAAUACCGGAUAAGAAAGCGGAUCGCAUGAUCAGCUUUUAAAAGGCGGCGUAAGCUGUCGCUAUGGGAUGGCCCCGCGGUGCAUUAGCUAGUUGGUAAGGUAAAGGCUUACCAAGGCGAUGAUGCAUAGCCGAGUUAAGAGACUGAUCGGCCACAUUGGGACUGAGACACGGCCCAAACUCCUACGGGAGGCAGCAGGU